AGUGGCUGGGCAGAGCUCCACAGCUCUGCUUAGCGCACGUGGCACAAGCCCGGCAACAGGCACGACAGCAGGGCUUCUGGAGGAAAGGGGCGGCUGCCUCCUGGCUCAGCCUCCACGGUCAGCCUCAGCGGGGGGCACGGAGAAGAAAAGAGCCUCAGGCGGCGGUCUGGUGGAGCGGAGGAAGAAAGAGGACCCCGACGCCUGUGCCUUGGACAAGGUACUGGACCAUACACAAAAUACAAUACUGGGCAUUAUAAACCAAUUGUCUGAUCUGGUGCAGCUCCAAGAAGGAAUCCAGUUUCUUUUGGACCAGAAGAAUUUCUUACGAGUUUUUGAAAGAAAAAGGAAAAUCCAGUAUGGGAAACUAUUUGACUUCACACCACCAGAUGGCCCUAUCUCAUCUACUUUACAAAGUCUGCAGGAAGGAGCCUCAGGAGCUGCAAACUUUAGAAGCUGAACAGCCUGUACCUUUCAAGAUGCAUCGCAAAUGUGGUAAGGUCUCUGCAGCAGGAUAGCUGCCAGUGACUCUCUGAAGAAGAGCGCUGUGUAAGCUCAAAAGUUUGUCUCUUUUACCAACAGAAGUUGGUC